rnacentral:rRNA from 1 species
AACGAACGCUGGCGGCAUGCUUAACACAUGCAAGUCGAACGAGACCUUCGGGUCUAGUGGCGCACGGGUGCGUAACGCGUGAGAAUCUGCCCUUUGCUACGGAAUAACUCAGAGAAAUUUGUGCUAAUACCGUAUAAUGUCGAAAGACCAAAGAUUUAUCGGCAAAGGAUGAGCCCGCGUAGGAUUAGCUAGUUGGUGAGGUAAAGGCUCACCAAGGCGACGAUCCUUAGCUGGUCUGAGAGGAUGAUCAGCCACACUGGGACUGAGACACGGCCCAGACACCUCCGGAAGGCAGCAGUGGGGAAUAUUGAACAAUGGGCGAAAGCCUGAUCCAGCAAUGCCGCGUGAGUGAUGAAGGCCUUAGGGUUGUAAAGCUCUUUUACCAGGGAUGAUAAUGACAGUACCUGGAGAAUAAGCUCCGGCUAACUCCGUGCCAGCCGCCGCCGUAACAC